rnacentral:lncRNA from 12 species
GUGGGGGGAUGGGGCAUCUCAUCUUGUCUCUCCACAGGUUGCAGAAAACCCAGAGAGGCCUGAAGUUUGCAGAACACAGUGAACCCAGAUCAUUCUGCCAUCAAGUAGUUUGGAGGUCGUGGAGGAGCUGCGAGGUGCUGACUGGUGCAGGCAUUCGAGACGGUGCGAGGCUGCUGCCACCCGAGGCAGGACACCAGGGAGGAGCUGGGGCCUCGUGGGCACAUCCUGCGGAAGCUGGACUCACGGAGGAGACGCCACCCAAGCUGGCAGGAUAGCAAGUGUGCCACACAGCUGUCUCCAGCCUCUGUCUCCACGGCCCCCGGCCCACCCCGCCACCACCCCUGCAAGGGAGCUUGGCUCCUGUCGAGGUCUCCUGUGAUACCAGCCAGCCGUCCCACUGCUGUCCUCAUCUUCCUUUGUGUCCAGCAGCAUCUGGCCCAGAUGUAUGUUCCAUGAGCACCGCUGUUUCUAGUUACAUCUCCAGCACGUCGUGGGCGCUCACUACGGAUCUGUUGAGAGAAUGCAUAAUCUGCUAAGAAAACAGGGUCCCUAAAGAAGCCUGCCAUUUGGUAUGGUUACACAGCCGGGGGCAGCUGAGCCGGCCCAGGUCCCCCACACGGCCUGCCCUGUGUCCACCUUGUCCCAUGGGACUCAGGCCCGAUGGAUGGCUGAGCUGAGAGGGAGGUGGGGGGGCAGCAGGCCUGUGAGCCCCACUGACGUGCCCGGAGACCCUCCCUCCCU